rnacentral:rRNA from 1 species
GAUGAACGCUGGCGGCGUGCCUAAUACAUGCAAGUCGAGCGAACGGACGAGAAGCUUGCUUUUCUGAUGUUAGCGGCGGACGGGUGAGUAACACGUGGAUAACCUACCUAUAAGACUGGGAUAACUUCGGGAAACCGGAGCUAAUAUCGGAUAAUAUUUUGAACCGCAUGGUUCAAAAGUGAAAGACGGUCUUGCUGUCACUUAUAGAUGGAUCCGCGCUGCAUUAGCUAGUUGGUAAGGUAACGGCUUACCAAGGCAACGAUGCAUAGCCGACCUGAGAGGGUGAUCGGCCACACUGGAACUGAGACACGGUCCAGACUCCUACGGGAGGCAGCAGUAGGGAAUCUUCCGCAAUGGGCGAAAGCCUGACGGAGCAACGCCGCGUGUGUGAUGAAGGUCUUCGGAUCGUAAAACUCUGUUAUUAGGGAAGAACAUAUGUGUAAGUAACUGUGCACAUCUUGACGGUACCUAAUCAGAAAGCCACGGCUAACUACGUG